AGGAUCACGCAGGGGUACUCGCUGUCCCGCCUUCAAGGCCGGCAGCGUGUUGAGAGAGUCCCUUCGUACCAGUACGGAUAAUGCCGAUGCUGGGAGCGUAUUCCAGUUGCCG
rnacentral:ncRNA from 13 species